UCUCCGUAGGUGAACCUGCGGAAGGAUCAUUACCGAGUGGGGGUCUCUCAGGCCCGACCUCCCACCCUGUGCCUUUGUGACCUUGUUGCUUUGGCCGGUGCGCCUCGCUUAGCGGCGGCCGGAAGCUCACCGCUUUGGGCCCGUGCCCGCCAAUAGCUCCCUUAAAUUCUUAAUAAACCUGUCGUGUGAGUCUAGAUAUAAUAAAAAAAACUUUCAACAACGGAUCUCUUGGUUCUG
rnacentral:misc_RNA from 1 species